GACGAACGCUGGCGGCGUGCCUAAUACAUGCAAGUAGAACGCUGAAGAGAGGUGCUUGCUCUUCUUGGAUGAGUUGCGAACGGGUGAGUAACGCGUAGGUAACCUGCCUGGUAGCGGGGGAUAACUAUUGGAAACGAUAGCUAAUACCGCAUAAAAUUGAUUAUUGCAUGAUAAUUAAUUGAAAGAUGCAACUGCAUCACUACCAGAUGGACCUGCGUUGUAUUAGCUAGUUGGUGAGGUAACGGCUCACCAAGGCGACGAUACAUAGCCGACCUGAGAGGGUGAUCGGCCACACUGGGACUGAGACACGGCCCAGACUCCUACGGGAGGCAGCAGUAGGGAAUCUUCGGCAAUGGGGGGAACCCUGACCGAGCAACGCCGCGUGAGUGAAGAAGGUUUUCGGAUCGUAAAGCUCUGUUGUAAGAGAAGAACGGGUGUGAGAGUGGAAAGUUCACACUGUGACGGUAUCUUACCAGAAAGGGACGGCUAACUACGUG
rnacentral:rRNA from 1 species